UACGUAGGGUGCAGGCGUUAAUCGGAAUUACUGGGCGUAAAGCGUGCGCAGGCGGUUUCUUAAGUCAGAUGUGAAAGCCCCGGGCUUAACCUGGGAACUGCGUUUGAAACUGGGAGACUAGAGUGUGGCAGAGGGGGGUGGAAUUCCACGGUGUAGCAGUGAAAUGCGUAGAUAUGUGGAGGAACACCGAUGGCGAAGGCAACCCCCUGGGUUAACACUGACGCUCAUGCACGAAAGCGUGGGGAGCAAACAGG
rnacentral:rRNA from 1 species